AAUAUCGAGUGAUUCUGAGAGUGAAUCAGAUGGUGCCAUAAACAAAAGGCUAAAAAAGGCAAAUCGAGGUAGAGGAAGAGGAAAAGGCACACUCAAUGGAAAGGGAAGAGGAAAGACGUCUCAAAGCAGAUCAACUGAAGCUAAUGUACUUGAACAACAUGUAGAAGAAUAAGUGAUGAAAUACCAAUGAUCAUCCAUGACAGCAAAAGAUAAGUAAUACCACCUUGAAUGAUUUAUUCCCUAUUGAUGGUGCCUCGGAAAUUGAAAUGGAAGAUGGUACCACAAUCAGUUUCCGGGAGUUUGAAGAUGUGUUUGAACAGCACAUGGAUGACUCAGAAGAAGUGCAGGCCACACAAGAACUUCAGGCCAACCAAGAUUUGCAGGCCACAAGUCCAGGCCACUCAAGUCCAGGCUACUCAAGUCCAGACCACCCAAGAAGGUCAACCCAUACCAGCUGCACAACUGCACAAGGAUACAAGAAAUGUGCCAAAGGAAAAUGAUUUCGUGAGAGUUAAGUUUGUCGUAAAAGCUAGAGGGAGUACAAAAGAGCAAUAUUUUAUUGGACAGGUUGUUGAACUAAUUGAUGGGGAACCUGUGAUAUCUUUUUUAAAAGAUAUCAAGGAUAUUGAACUCAAACAGUGGCCUGACAAAACAGAAUUGUCAUUGGUGGAUCCAUCCAUGAUCACAGAUAUUCUAAAAGAGCCAGAAACUGUUUUAACUGGCAGAAGACUACUGUUGAAAUUAAAUUAAUAUUUUUAUGUUGAAGGCAUAGUUAUACUGUGAAAGUACUUUUAUUCGUGAGAAACCAAUUUUCUUGUUUAUCUACGAAUUUAAGUGACAUGUUUAUGGCCUAAUUAACACCUUUGAUGGUCUUUAAUCAGUCUCUAUUUCGAGUUAAUUAGUGUGAUCACUUUGAUUUACAAUUUACAUUGGUCAAUUUAUACUUUGCAACUUCCUUUAAUCUAGACAAUUUGUAACCUUUGUUUCUAAUAACUUCAAUAUUUUGAUUUUACUUUUUUUGGAAAACUAAAAUCCACAAUUUUAAAACCCACGAACAUGUAAAUGUUGCUCAAACCACGAAAAUUGAUACCCACAAAUUAAAGUACUUUCACGGUAAUUGAAUUGAUUUUUUGUGUCCUAUAGAGUUCCUUAUGUGCAAUGUGUACUUUUUAUGUGUAAUUACAAAAUGUGGUAAUUUUAGUGCUUGUUUGACAUGCAAUAAUUAGUGAGAAAGCCAUCAGUAUUUGUCUCUAUUAAUCACUUAAGACAAUGAUUCUAUUUUCACUGUUUUAAGUGAUUUUUUUUUGUGAUAUAAGGAGUAUUAUGCUUGUUUUUUUUUUAUUUUUUGGGUACAAAAGUUUGUUUUUUCUAUAAAUUUCGUGGAUGCAUUAAUUUUCUCCUUGAAAAUGUUGAAGGCAGUUUAAACUUCAUUUAAAGUUUGUAUCUGUUUAAGUUCCUUAUGUGCAAUGUGUACUUUUGUAUUUGAGUUAUGUUUGUAAUUUUAGUGCUGGUUUGACAUGAAAUUGCAAUAAGUAGUGAGAAAGCCAUCAGUAUUGGUCUCUAUUAAUCACUUGACACAGUGAUUCUAUUGUCACUGUUUUAAGUGAUUU